rnacentral:ncRNA from 1 species
UUGAGCCGUAUGAGGGGAAACUCUCACGUACGGUUCUUAGAGGGGUGGAGCGUGGCAACACGCUCUACCUACUCGAC